rnacentral:rRNA from 1 species
GAUGAACGCUGGCGGCGUGCCUAACACAUGCAAGUCGAACGGGGGCCAGCGGCGGAAGGGGAUGGUUUACCAGACCCGGAAGGCGCGGGCCUUAGUGGCGGACGGGUGAGUAACGCGUGGGGAACCUGCCCCGUACCGGGGGAUAACACCUGGAAACAGGUGCUAAUACCGCAUAACAGAAGGGGACGCAUGUUCCUUUCUUGAAAACUCCGGUGGUACGGGAUGGACCCGCGUCUGAUUAGCUGGUUGGCGGGGUAACGGCCCACCAAGGCGACGAUCAGUAGCCGGCCUGAGAGGGCGGACGGCCACAUUGGGACUGAGACACGGCCCAA